CAAUAGCGUAUAUUAAAGUUGUUGCGGUAAAAAAGCUCGUAGUUGGAUUUCUGUUGAAGACGUCCGGUCCAUACCACGUAUGCGCAUCUGGCUCGGCUUCGGCAUCCUCUCGAAAGACGUUUCUGCGCUUGAUUGCGUGGAGCGGAUCUCGGGACUUUUACUUUGAGGAAAUUAGAGUGUUCACGGCAGGCUAUCGCCAGAAUACAUUAGCAUGGAAUAAUACUAUAGGAUCUCGGUUCUAUUUUGUUGGUUUCUUAGAAUUGAGAUAAUGAUUAAUUAGGGACGAAUUAGGGGGUCGAUUCGUAUCAACACGUUAGAGGUGAAAUUACUUGGAUCGUGUUGCGACGAACUACUGCGAAAGACAUUUG
rnacentral:rRNA from 1 species